AAAGGAAUUGACGGGGACCCGCACAAGCGGUGGAUGAUGUGGUUUAAUUCGAUGCAACGCGAAAACCUUACCCACCUUUGACAUGUACGGAAUCCUUUAGAGAUAGAGGAGUGCUCGAAAGAGAACCGUAACACAGGUGCUGCAUGGCUGUCGUCAGCUCGUGUCGUGAGAUGUUGGGUUAAGUCCCGCAACAAGCGCAACCCUUGUCAUUAGUUGCUACAUUCAGUUGGGCACUCUAAUGAGACUGCCGGUGACAAACCGGAGGAAGGUGGGGAUGACGUCAAGUCCUCAUGGCCCUUAUAGGUGGGGCUACACACGUCAUACAAUGGAUGGUACAAAGGGUCGCCAACCCGCGAGGGGGAGCCAAUCCCAUAAAGCCAUUCGUAGUCCGGAUCGCAGUCUGCAACUCGACUACGUGAAGUCGGAAUCGCUAGUAAUCGUGGAUCAGAAUGUCACGGUGAAUACGUUCCCGGGUCUU
rnacentral:rRNA from 1 species